rnacentral:rRNA from 1 species
UUAAGCGACUAAGCGUACACGGUGGAUGCCCUGGCAGUCAGAGGCGAUGAAGGACGUGCUAAUCUGCGAUAAGCGUCGGUAAGGUGAUAUGAACCGUUAUAACCGGCGAUUUCCGAAUGGGGAAACCCAGUGUGUUUCGACACACUAUCAUUAACUGAAUCCAUAGGUUAAUGAGGCGAACCGGGGGAACUGAAACAUCUAAGUACCCCGAGGAAAAGAAAUCAACCGAGAUUCCCCCAGUAGCGGCGAGCGAACGGGGAGCAGCCCAGAGCCUGAAUCAGUGUGUGUGUUAGUGGAAGCGUCUGGAAAGGCGCGCGAUACAGGGUGACAGCCCCGUACACAAAAAUGCACAUGCUGUGAGCUCGAUGAGUAGGGCGGGACACGUGGUAUCCUGUCUGAAUAUGGGGGGACCAUCCUCCAAGGCUAAAUACUCCUGACUGACCGAUAGUGAACCAGUACCGUGAGGGAAAGGCGAAAAGAACCCCGGCGAGGGGAGUGAAAAAGAACCUGAAACCGUGUACGUACAAGCAGUGGGAGCACGCUUAGGCGUGUGACUGCGUACCUUUUGUAUAAUGGGUCAGCGACUUAUAUUCUGUAGCAAGGUUAACCGAAUAGGGGAGCCGAAGGGAAACCGAGUCUUAACUGGGCGUUAAGUUGCAGGGUAUAGACCCGAAACCCGGUGAUCUAGCCAUGGGCAGGUUGAAGGUUGGGUAACACUAACUGGAGGACCGAACCGACUAAUGUUGAAAAAUUAGCGGAUGACUUGUGGCUGGGGGUGAAAGGCCAAUCAAACCGGGAGAUAGCUGGUUCUCCCCGAAAGCUAUUUAGGUAGCGCCUCGUGAAUUCAUCUCCGGGGGUAGAGCACUGUUUCGGCAAGGGGGUCAUCCCGACUUACCAACCCGAUGCAAACUGCGAAUACCGGAGAAUGUUAUCACGGGAGACACACGGCGGGUGCUAACGUCCGUCGUGAAGAGGGAAACAACCCAGACCGCCAGCUAAGGUCCCAAAGUCAUGGUUAAGUGGGAAACGAUGUGGGAAGGCCCAGACAGCCAGGAUGUUGGCUUAGAAGCAGCCAUCAUUUAAAGAAAGCGUAAUAGCUCACUGGUCGAGUCGGCCUGCGCGGAAGAUGUAACGGGGCUAAACCAUGCACCGAAGCUGCGGCAGCGACGCUUAUGCGUUGUUGGGUAGGGGAGCGUUCUGUAAGCCUGUGAAGGUGUGCUGUGAGGCAUGCUGGAGGUAUCAGAAGUGCGAAUGCUGACAUAAGUAACGAUAAAGCGGGUGAAAAGCCCGCUCGCCGGAAGACCAAGGGUUCCUGUCCAACGUUAAUCGGGGCAGGGUGAGUCGACCCCUAAGGCGAGGCCGAAAGGCGUAGUCGAUGGGAAACAGGUUAAUAUUCCUGUACUUGGUGUUACUGCGAAGGGGGGACGGAGAAGGCUAUGUUGGCCGGGCGACGGUUGUCCCGGUUUAAGCGUGUAGGCUGGUUUUCCAGGCAAAUCCGGAAAAUCAAGGCUGAGGCGUGAUGACGAGGCACUACGGUGCUGAAGCAACAAAUGCCCUGCUUCCAGGAAAAGCCUCUAAGCAUCAGGUAACAUCAAAUCGUACCCCAAACCGACACAGGUGGUCAGGUAGAGAAUACCAAGGCGCUUGAGAGAACUCGGGUGAAGGAACUAGGCAAAAUGGUGCCGUAACUUCGGGAGAAGGCACGCUGAUAUGUAGGUGAAGCGACUUGCUCGUGGAGCUGAAAUCAGUCGAAGAUACCAGCUGGCUGCAACUGUUUAUUAAAAACACAGCACUGUGCAAACACGAAAGUGGACGUAUACGGUGUGACGCCUGCCCGGUGCCGGAAGGUUAAUUGAUGGGGUCAGCGCAAGCGAAGCUCUUGAUCGAAGCCCCGGUAAACGGCGGCCGUAACUAUAACGGUCCUAAGGUAGCGAAAUUCCUUGUCGGGUAAGUUCCGACCUGCACGAAUGGCGUAAUGAUGGCCAGGCUGUCUCCACCCGAGACUCAGUGAAAUUGAACUCGCUGUGAAGAUGCAGUGUACCCGCGGCAAGACGGAAAGACCCCGUGAACCUUUACUAUAGCUUGACACUGAACAUUGAGCCUUGAUGUGUAGGAUAGGUGGGAGGCUUUGAAGUGUGGACGCCAGUCUGCAUGGAGCCGACCUUGAAAUACCACCCUUUAAUGUUUGAUGUUCUAACGUUGACCCGUAAUCCGGGUUGCGGACAGUGUCUGGUGGGUAGUUUGACUGGGGCGGUCUCCUCCUAAAGAGUAACGGAGGAGCACGAAGGUUGGCUAAUCCUGGUCGGACAUCAGGAGGUUAGUGCAAUGGCAUAAGCCAGCUUGACUGCGAGCGUGACGGCGCGAGCAGGUGCGAAAGCAGGUCAUAGUGAUCCGGUGGUUCUGAAUGGAAGGGCCAUCGCUCAACGGAUAAAAGGUACUCCGGGGAUAACAGGCUGAUACCGCCCAAGAGUUCAUAUCGACGGCGGUGUUUGGCACCUCGAUGUCGGCUCAUCACAUCCUGGGGCUGAAGUAGGUCCCAAGGGUAUGGCUGUUCGCCAUUUAAAGUGGUACGCGAGCUGGGUUUAGAACGUCGUGAGACAGUUCGGUCCCUAUCUGCCGUGGGCGCUGGAGAACUGAGGGGGGCUGCUCCUAGUACGAGAGGACCGGAGUGGACGCAUCACUGGUGUUCGGGUUGUCAUGCCAAUGGCACUGCCCGGUAGCUAAAUGCGGAAGAGAUAAGUGCUGAAAGCAUCUAAGCACGAAACUUGCCCCGAGAUGAGUUCUCCCUGACCCUUUAAGGGUCCUGAAGGAACGUUGAAGACGACGACGUUGAUAGGCCGGGUGUGUAAGCGCAGCGAUGCGUUGAGCUAACCGGUACUAAUGAACCGUGAGGCUUAACCUU